UGCGGGGGUGCCAGAGCGGUCAAAUGGGACAGCUUAAGGAGCUGUUGGCUUAGUGCCUUCAGGAGUUCGAAUCUUCUCUCCCGCAU
rnacentral:tRNA from 1 species